rnacentral:rRNA from 1 species
CCUACGUGUGGCUGCAGUGGGGAAUAUUGGACAAUGGGCGAAAGCCUGAUCCAGCCAUGCCGCGUGUGUGAAGAAGGCCUUCGGGUUGUAAAGCACUUUCAGUGGGGAAGAAAGCCUUGGGGCUAAUACCCUCGAGGAAGGACAUCACCCACAGAAGAAGCACCGGCUAACUCCGUGCCAGCAGCCGCGGUAAUACGGAGGGUGCGAGCGUUAAUCGGAAUUACUGGGCGUAAAGCGCGCGUAGGCGGUCUGAUAAGCCGGUUGUGAAAGCCCCGGGCUCAACCUGGGAACGGCAUCCGGAACUGUCAGGCUAGAGUGCAGGAGAGGAAGGUAGAAUUCCCGGUGUAGCGGUGAAAUGCGUAGAGAUCGGGAGGAAUACCAGUGGCGAAGGCGGUCUUCUGGACUGACACUGACGCUGAGGUGCGAAAGCGUGGGUAGCAAACAGGAUUAGAUACCCCGGUAGUC